CUGAAGCAACGCUGUUUCAGUAAACAAAUGCAUUGAUCUGAGAAGUGGUUUGUUGUCACCUGAAUAAGAGGUUUCAUGGGUUGCAUAAUGCAGUACAGCACAAACAAACAAUACCAUAGAGUUUUUUGGAGUCAGUUGUUAUCAGUGUGUUUGCAGGCGUGUUUGUGGAUCCAGUGACAGUGAUAAAGAGCUUGACUGUACCUCUUAAAUAAACACCAUUCAAAGGCAGCAGUUUAAAAUGACAUGGCAGAACAAAGUCCAGCCAAAAAAUUAAGUGAAGGUGGAAAUAGCAAAGUUGUGGUCUUCAGACCAGAAGAUCACAUGCACUUCCACAAUGCUGAAAAGACCCGGAGUUUAGUUACACUAGAGGACGUGGUUUUACAGUCGUCUAUUGAGUCCAGCAGAAGAAUGGACAUCUUCUACACUCACAGCUCUAAAAUGUCCUGCGUUCGCAACCUCGGAGAAGCAUUUAACAACUGCUUUUCUGCUGGACCACAAGCUGUGCAGUUGUCGGAACUCCUUAAACUUCAUACAAAACCAAAGAGGGUCAACAUCAAUGCAAAGAUUAUCCAGGAGGUGCGCAGGGGAAACAGUGUUAUAUGGGACAGACAGAAUCUUCCAAGAACUGAAUAUACUGUAGCAGAUACCACAGGCUGCAUGAGUCUAACGGUUUGGUGUGAGCACAGCAUUACUGUCGGUGAAUGGUACAACAUCACAGACGUCUCUGUGAGAGAAAUCAGCGGCAAGACAUCCCUUUCAACUACCAAAGACACACAGAUCGUCAGCAUCCCAUCUCUAGGUACAGCAGCUGCUGUUCAAGUGCCGACAGAAACUAUCAGAUGUGACAUCAUUGGUGCAAACAUUAAAAAUCUCUUAAUUUGUCCUCGGAAACACAAACUGAAAAAUGUGACACUGUCAAGCCCAACUCUAUAUUGUAUCUCAUGCAGCACAUAUUAUAAAAGCACUGCCAUCAUAAUGAACUUUAGUGGUCACCUGGAUCUUAAACCAGAAACAGGAAAUGUUGUGAAGGCAAAGAUUGAAGACGAGGUCAUAAGGUCAGCGCUCACGGUCAAUCCCACUGCAUCCCCAAAGGACAUUAUUAAGAGCUUGAUUGCUCUGCCAGCCAUGCAGAUUACAAUUCGUGAGAACGUCAUUGUAAAGAUGGAAGAUGUUCCUCAGAAGACUGAUAUCAAGUCUGAAGAUGAGCCUCCUAUUAAAGUGGAACCUGUGAAAGAAUCCAAGUUUUAUUCACUAUUCAAUUCACAAGCCAGAAAAAGAACAUUUACUGACUGA
ensembl:lncRNA